UACGUAGGGACCAAGCGUUGUUCGGAUUUACUGGGCGUAAAGGGCGCGUAGGCGGCGCGGUAAGUCACUUGUGAAAUCUCUGAGCUUAACUCAGAACGGCCAAGUGAUACUGCAGUGCUAGAGUGUGGAAGGGGCAAUCGGAAUUCUUGGUGUAGCGGUGGAAUGCGCAGAUAUCGGGAGGAACACCCGUAGCGAAGGCGGUUCUCUGGGCCAGUACUGACGCUGAGGAGCGAAAGCGUGGGGAGCAAACAGG
rnacentral:rRNA from 1 species